rnacentral:rRNA from 1 species
GACGAACGCUGGCGGCGUGCUUAACACAUGCAAGUCGAACGAAGUGGCGAACGGGUGAGUAAUACGUGAGUAACCUGCCCUCCUUUUUGGGAUAAGCCUUGGAAACGGGGUCUAAUACCGAAUAAAGGGGGAUGGGCUCGCGGCCUAUCAGCUUGUUGGUGGGGUGAUGGCCUACCAAGGCGGUGACUGUUAGCCGGCCUGAGCGGGUGACGGGUAACUAUAAGACUGAGGUAAGGCCCAGAUUCCUACGGGAGGCAGCAGUGGGGGAUAUUAAAGAGUGUGAGAAAGCCUAAUGCAGCGACGCCGCUUGGGGGAUGAAGGCUAUCGGGUUGUAAACCUCUUUCGCUAUCGAACGAGUAGGUGGAGAAGAAGCGCCGGCUAGCUACGUGACGGCGGCCGCGGUAAUAC